rnacentral:rRNA from 1 species
GCCGUAACUAUAACGGUCCUAAGGUAGCGAAAUUCCUUGUCGGGUAAGUUCCGACCUGCACGAAUGGCGUAAUGAUGGCCAGGCUGUCUCCACCCGAGACUCAGUGAAAUUGAACUCGCUGUGAAGAUGCAGUGUACCCGCGGCAAGACGGAAAGACCCCGUGAACCUUUACUAUAGCUUGACACUGAACAUUGAGCCUUGAUGUGUAGGAUAGGUGGGAGGCUUUGAAGCGUGGACGCCAGUCUGCGUGGAGCCAACCUUGAAAUACCACCCUUUAAUGUUUGAUGUUCUAACGUUGGCCCCUGACCGGGGUUGCGGACAGUGUCUGGUGGGUAGUUUGACUGGGGCGGUCUCCUCCCAAAGCGUAACGGAGGAGCACGAAGGUUAGCUAAUCCUGGUCGGACAUCAGGAGGUUAGUGCAAUGGCAUAAGCUAGCUUGACUGCGAGCGUGACGGCGCGAGCAGGUGCGAAAGCAGGUCAUAGUGAUCCGGUGGUUCUGAAUGGAAGGGCCAUCGCUCAACGGAUAAAAGGUACUCCGGGGAUAACAGGCUGAUACCGCCCAAGAGUUCAUAUCGACGGCGGUGUUUGGCACCUCGAUGUCGGCUCAUCACAUCCUGGGGCUGAAGUAGGUCCCAAGGGUAUGGCUGUUCGCCAUUUAAAGUGGUACGCGAGCUGGGUUUAGAACGUCGUGAGACAGUUCGGUCCCUAUCUGCCGUGGGCGCUGGAGAAUUGAGGGGGGCUGCUCCUAGUACGAGAGGACCGGAGUGGACGCAUCACUGGUGUUCGGGUUGUCAUGCCAAUGGCACUGCCCGGUAGCUAAAUGCGGAAGAGAUAAGUGCUGAAAGCAUCUAAGCACGAAACUUGCCCCGAGAUGAGUUCUCCCUGAGACUUUAAGUCUCCUGAAGGAACGUUAAAGACGAUGACGUUGAUAGGCCGGGUGUGUAAGCGCAGCGAUGCGUUGAGCUAACCGGUACUAAUGAACCGUGAGGCUUAACCUU